UCCUCUUCAUUGCUACCUGUCAGUUAGGACCCCUAGGUGACAGAGGUGUCCAUUAUGAAAAGUUACAUUUCCCAACCAGCUUUGGAGAUCAUUGCCAAACCCCACAACCUAAUGCCUCAAAUAUAAAACAACAACAACAACAAAAUUUACAGUUUUACUUAAAAAAUGAGAGCGGCAACGACCAACAUCAAACUCUGGUCCCUGGGUCACACUGAUAAGCUUCCUUGCUUAGGGUUUUAACCAGCCUUUACUAUGUAGAAAAAAAACACCAAGAGAAAACACAGUUUUAUUUGAGAAAACAAAACGAGAAAAUAUAUCUCUAGUCUGGAGGGCUUCUCCACACCUGUGUGUGUGGGGACAACAUGUUGCAAUGAAAAAGCAUUAAACCAAGGGGGAUCCUGGAGUCUGAACUCUGACAUGCUGAGCUACAUCAUUUGGAAUUGGUUUAAGCAGUGAGCGUUUUGUCAGGGAAGGUUAUAAAGGAGGUGACCACAGUAAGGAGUGAAAGAAAACUUGAUGGAGAUAGAAAGGCAAUUGUUGAGUCCUCAGGGUGAACAUUACUCCGAAUCAUGAAGGAAUGAAUAGAACUGCAUCCUAAAGUUUUGGAUCACAUCAAUUUGGGAAGCAAGAUCGCUGGUUAACUGAAAGGAAAUAAUCAGAUUCUUUAAAGAUUCUGGAAGACCAGAAGGAAGGUCAAAGUGGAAAAGGGCAGAAAGCAGGAGUCAGGGGAAGAAGUUGCCAAGGCAGCUUGUGGAUCAGAAAAUCACAGAUACUGAAAUGGAUCCUGAAGGACUUCUAGGACUGAGGACCGGAAGGAGAAGGUCUGUCCCUGUGACCUUCAGACCAGCAACUGGUGCUUGGAUGCGGAGCCACCUGAA